ensembl:snRNA U6 U6 spliceosomal RNA
GUGCUAGCUUCGGCAGCACAUAGAGAGGAGAUUAGCGUGGCCCCUGCGCAAGUAUGACACGCAAAUCCGUGAAGCGUUCCAUAUUUUU